UAACGCGUGAGUAACCUGCCUUGGAGUGGGGAAUAACAGUUGGAAACAGCUGCUAAUACCGCAUGAUGCAGUUGAGUCGCAUGGCUCUGACUGCCAAAGAUUUAUCGCUCUGAGAUGGACUCGCGUCUGAUUAGCUAGUUGGUGGGGCAACGGCCCACCAAGGCGACGAUCAGUAGCCGGACUGAGAGGUUGGCCGGCCACAUUGGGACUGAGACACGGCCCAGACUCCUACGGGAGGCAGCAGUGGGGAAUAUUGGGCAAUGGGCGCAAGCCUGACCCAGCAACGCCGCGUGAAGGAAGAAGGCUUUCGGGUUGUAAACUUCUUUUCUCAGGGACGAAGCAAGUGACGGUACCUGAGGAAUAAGCCACGGCUAACUACGUGCCAGCAGCCGCGGUAAUACGUAGGUGGCAAGCGUUAUCCGGAUUUACUGGGUGUAAAGGGCGUGUAGGCGGGAAAGCAAGUCAGAUGUGAAAACCAUGGGCUCAACCUGUGGCCUGCAUUUGAAACUGUUUUUCUUGAGUACUGGAGAGGCAGACGGAAUUCCUAGUGUAGCGGUGAAAUGCGUAGAUAUUAGGAGGAACACCAGUGGCGAAGGCGGUCUGCUGGACAGCAACUGACGCUGAGGCGCGAAAGCGUGGGGGAGCAAACAGGAUUAGAUACCCUGGUAGU
rnacentral:rRNA from 1 species